rnacentral:tRNA from 1 species
GGAUAAUUAGCUCAAUGGUAGAGUAUUUCGUUUACACCGAAAAUGUUAGCGGUUCGAAUCCGUUAUUAUUCA